GAGUUUGAUCGUGGCUCAGAUUGAACGCUGGCGGCAUGCCUUACACAUGCAAGUCGAACGGCAGCACGGGAGCUUGCUCCUGGUGGCGAGUGGCGAACGGGUGAGUAAUGCAUCGGAACGUAUCCUGGAGUGGGGGAUAACGUAGCGAAAGUUACGCUAAUACCGCAUAUUCUGUGAGCAGGAAAGCGGGGGACCUUCGGGGCCUCGCGCGUCUUGGAGCGGCCGAUGUCGGAUUAGCU
rnacentral:rRNA from 1 species